CUGCUGUUUCCUUAUUUUUUGCAGGAAAGCAAAGGGUUGUUGACUUCCUCUCCCCUCCCUUCCUUCCUUCUUUCUGAAGGUACUGUACUCAUCUGAAAAAAAAAAAAAACACAAACCCAGAACGAAAUGAUUGUUCCUGUUCUCCUUCUUAAGUCAUUUGAAACAUUGUCCCUGCUAGUUUUCUAAGUUUACUGCAAUCUCUGCACAGGGGGGAGGGAGACAGUGGGAGACAGAAACAGAUAUUACAAACAUGAGAGCAGGUAGUGUUUAGGGCAAGACUCCUUCCAGCUUCAACAACUGGUGCAUGCGAUGCCCAUAAGGUGCCAUUAACUGCUGAUGGAGGAGCCAGCUGGCUGGCUUAAAGAACCAAGCUGAACAAGCUGAAGGUGGCCCUUAGCUACUCUUUAAGACAACAGAGAGAUGGGAGGAGAAUAGACCAUCUCUCUGGCCUCCAUGUAGAUGAUACGGACACUGGGAUUACAGUAGGAAGAAAAGCUCAAUGUAUUUCCUUUUUAAAGGAUCGGUCCUGUGAUGCCUGUAGCUGUGGCCAGUGGAAUAAGCCCACAGGCUCAGUGAAAGCAGCCAAAGGUUAGUAGUGCAAGGAAAAUGUUUAUUUCUAGUAAUUUCAAGCAGUUCUACAGGUCUGUGCUCCAGA
rnacentral:lncRNA from 1 species